UACCUAAAACUCAUCGUUUCAUUAAUCUUUAAUAUGGGCUGCUGCGUUUCAGAUAUGCAUUACUUAUGGUUUAAAAGGCCAUUUGUUCACAAUAUAGCCCAAAUACAGAGAGACCACCCACUAAAUUUUUAGGUUUACGUGUUCUUUUCCCCCAGUUACGUGAAGAGUCUUCUUCUUUGAUCUUCUAUACAUCUAUGGAGUUUCAGUGUCUUCAAUACACAUGAAGAAUGGCUUUGUGAAUCUUCGAUCUGGCGUUCUGUCUUCUAUUCAAAUAAAGGGUAACGUUUCUCCUAAUUGAUUUAUCCUCUUUAUCAUGCUCCUUAAAUCCAUCACCCUUCUUCGAGCACGAUCUGUUAUUGAAGCCACAUUAUUCAUCCAAGGCGGUGUCUCCACUCCUAUAAAAGUCCGGUCAAUGCUCCUCCACCUUUCAAGUGCGGUUGCUAGGUUCUGGGAGGCCAAGAACAACAAGCUUGGGCUGAUGGGCGUGGAUAUGCUCUUUUUGGAUUUAAAGGAUUUCUUUAAAAACCCAUGUUCACAGUUCUUGAAUUCAUGUUCGUAGUUAAGUUAAACUAUUCUGGUAUGUAAUCUCAAUAUUAUUAGGUUCUGAAUUUAGAUAUUUGUUAGGUGAGUUUGUUCGUAAACUCCUGUUAAUAAUGUUAUUAAAUAUUGUUUAGGAUUCCUCGCCCUCUUUCUUUGAAUAUUGUUCUUAGAUUUAUGGAUUGUAUGUUAUUUAUGAAUUCUUAGGUGUAGUCUUACUCUGAAAAGUUUGUUUGUUUUAUUUUCUUCAAUGGAAGCAUGCACCUUUUGUUAAGAACGGAUUACUUAAACAUUCUAGCAAUUAAAAGAUCAAUCUAUUACCAAGACGAGUCAAAUUUUAAAUAGUGAUUCCACCUUUGCAGGCCUUGAAAGACAGCCAAGAAGAUUUCAAGAAAAUCAUCAGAGCGAUCAGUGUUUGAAGCAAAAUAAAGAAACAGCUAAGUAAUCUAUCCACACAGAGAUAGUGUUCUUAAUCUCCCAAUCAAUAGUGUGGAAAAUAGUUGUAGUGGUAAAUGAGGUGUUGUUGUGAAGAACACUGUUACUCUGUUUCCAAAUAUGAAACACGACAGGCCUGAGUUACCAUUUUCCGAGGAAGGAGCCGGUGCUUCCAUCCCAUAGUAGCUGCAAAAGCAGAAAUAGUAUUAACAUUGUAGUUGUUGGCUUGAUUACUUCUGAUCCAUGCUAGCAGUUCUGACCAAUUCAUAAACAUUUCCAAUGUUCCGCUUAUACGUAAGAAAACCAGACUCCAUAUAUCUGAGCUAUAGUCACAGCUGAGAAGAAGAUGAUCCCGAGAACAGAGGCAGCUUGAUGUUUGGUUGAGUAUGCUUGAUGUGAAAAUGGUUCAUUCGUUAAGUGAGAGGUGCUCUUUUUUUUUUGUCACAGAAGUGAGAGGUGCUCUAAGUUGUUUUGUUUUGUAUUGAUACAUUUUUUUUAAAUUAAUACAACCCUUCAUUUUUGUUGACCAAA